ensembl:lncRNA
GGGAUGUUUGAGACCAUGGAGCUGCUGCGCAGCGUCCCCCCCCCGGGGCUGCACGAGGAUCUGCUGGUGCAACAGGUGGGGUGAUAUGGGGUCUAUGGGGCGCUAUGGGGCUCUAUGGGGCUCUAUGGGGUCACUAUGGGGCUCUAUGGGUCUCUAUGGGGUCUCUAUGGGGCGCUAUGGGGCUCUAUGGGGCGAUAUGGGUCACUAUGGGGCUCUAUGGGUCACUAUGGGGCUCUAUGGGGUCUCUAUGGGGUGUUAUUGGGUUGUUAUGGGGCUCUAUGGGGCUAUAUGGGGUCACUAUGGGGCUCUAUGGGGUCUCUAUGGGGUGCUAUGGGGUCACUGUGGGGCACUAUGGGGCUCUAUGGGGUCACUGUGGGGCACUAUGGGGCUCUAUGGGGCGCUAUGGGGUCUCUAUGGGGCUCUAUGGGGUCUCUAUGGGGUUCUGUGGGGUGAUAUGGGGGGAUAUGGGGUCCCUAUGGGGUGAUAUGGGGUCUCUAUGGGGUCCCUAUGGGGUGAUAUGGGGUCUCUAUGGGGUGAUAUGGGGCUAUAUGGGAGAUCUAUGGGGUGAUAUGGGGUCUCUAUGGGGUCUAUGGGGGAUCCAUGGGGUUAUAUGGGGGGAUGUGGGGGGAUCUAUGGGGUCUAUGAGGUGAUAUGGGGUCUCUAUGGGGUCCCUAUGGGGCUCUGUGGGGUGCUAUGGGGCUCUAUGGGGCACUAUGGGGUCCCUAUGGGGUCUAUGGGGUGCUAUGGGGCUCUGUGGGGUGCUAUGGGGCGCUAUGGGAUCUCUAUGAGUCCCUAUGGGUCCCUAUGGGUCCCUAUGGGGUCCCUAUGGGUCUCUAUUGGUUCCCUAUGGGUCCCUAUGGGGUCCCUAUGGGUCUCUAUGGGUCUCUAUGUGUCCCUAUGGGUCCCUAUGGGUCUCUAUGUGUCCCUAGGGGGUCCCUAUGGGUCUCUAUGGGUCCCAAUGGGUCUCUAUGGGUCCCAGUGGGUCUCUAUGGGGUCCCUAUGGGUCCCAAUGGGUCUCUAUGGGUCCCAGUGGGUCUCUAUGGGGUCUCUAUGGGGUCUCUAUGGGUCUCUAUGGGGUCUCUAUGGGGUCUCUAUGGGUCCCAAUGGGUCUCUAUGGGUCCCAGUGGGUCUCUAUGGGGUCUCUAUGGGGUCUCUAUGGGUCUCUAUGGGGUCUCUGUGGGUCUCUAUGGGUCCCUAUGGGGUCUCUAUGGGGCUCUAUGGGGCGCUAUGGGUCACUAUGGGGCUCUAUGGGUCUCUAUGGGGUCUCUAUGUGGUCUCUAUGGGGUCUCUAUGUGGUCUCUAUGGGUCCCAAUGGGUCUCUAUGGGGUCUCUAUGGGUCCCAAUGGGUCUCUAUGGGUCUCUAUGGGGUCUCUAUGGGGUUAUAUGGGGUCUCUAUGGGGAGAUAUGCGGGGAAUAUGGGGGGUAAUAAGGUCUCUAUAGGGUUAUAUGGGGGUAAUGGGGUUAUAUGGGGGGAUAUGGGGUCUCUAUAGGGUUAUAUGGGGUCUCUAUAGGGUUAUAUGGGGGGAUAUGGGGGCUAUAUAGGGUUAUAUGGGGGGAUAUGGGGUCUCUAUAGGGUUAUAUGGGGUUAUAUGGGGGGAUAUGGGGUCUCUAUAGGGUUAUAUGGGGUCUCUAUGGGGAGAUAUAGGGUUAAUAAUGUGGAUAUGGGUUCCUAUGAAUGGAUGGGGGGGUUCCGGUUCCGGUUCCCGUUUCCGGUUCCGGUUCUCACCUGACACGCGUCGCGCGCCCCCUGCCGGUACCCGGCACAAACCGUGUCCGCAGCCGGAAGUGCCACGUGACCGUCCCGACCCGGACGGGAAUAAAAACAACGACAACGACGACGGGACA